rnacentral:lncRNA from 1 species
GCACCCGGCCGGGCCAGCAGCUGCCCAACUUCGCGAGCCCCUCGCGCCCCCACCCCACCCGCCCACCCCGCGCGGCGGCCAGGGCGCCGGCACCCACCUGGCGGCCGCGGGCGCAGUCCGGGACGGAAGCCGGAGCCUGCGGGCGGCGGAGCGGCGGGCGGAGCUAGGGGGCGCGGGCUCCCGGGGCGGGGACGGGCUGAGCACGCGGAGCGGCGGCGGCGGCGGCGGCGGGGCGCCUUCCUCCCGGCGCGCGGGCCCGGCCGGGUCCGCCGCUCGCCCUCUGCUCCCGGGCGCGGCUCGCAGGCCCUCCCGCGGGGCGGCUCCGCGCUCCCGGCCGCCCGCGCCCCGCCCCCGCGCCCCGCCCGCGCCCCGCCCCCCCGCGCGCCCCGCCCCCGCCCCGCCCCCUCGGGCUCGCGGGGGGUGGGAGCGGGUCCCCCCGCACGGCGACCUCCGGGGCGCGCGCGCGGCUCCCGGGGCUCCUGCGGGCGGACCGGCCGGGCAGCCCGGGCCGGGGGGAAGUGUCCUCUGGCUCCGCCCGAGCCCCGGGCCCCUCACGCAGCCCUGCCCGGCGGCCACCCCGGCUGCCGCGAGCGAGGCCGAGGAAAAUGUCCGACUGUCGUCCUCCGGCGCGAGCAGGGGAGGACCCUCCCGGGGGACCGGGGACCCCCCCCCCGCGCUCGGGAACCCCGCGGGGACCGCGCGCACCGUGCAGACGGGCCGGGGUUGACCUGCGGGAAGGGGCAGCCCCGGCCCUGCAUCCAGGCGGCCUCGCCCAGGGCUUCGCGGGGCUUCCCUGCCCGCACCCCAGCCCGGGGGCCCCCGCGUCCCCGCCGAGCUCCUCCCGUCCGCCGGCGCAUCCUCCCGCACCCCCAAAGCUUCCUCCGACACCCGCAGCGCGCCCAGCGCGCGCCCUCCGACUUCUUCGCCCCGAGAAUGCGGGUGCGGAACUCCGGGGCCAACUCCCCCCGAGCCUCACCCGAAAGCGGGAGAAGACAGGGUGCCGGGAAUCUGGGAAGUUCCAGCUGGAAGGUUCUCGACCCGCGGGCGGCGGGCGGCGUGCUGCGUGUGACUGACCCCACGCGCGAACGGGGCGCGCCCCGCCCGAGGGCAGCGCUUGGCGCCGUGCGCCCCCGGCAGGUCGCUCCCCGGUGGCCCCGGGUGGUGCUCUCCCCAGCGCCAGCCGCGUGUCUCCUCCCCAGAUCCCAGCCUCCCUCCCCCGACCUCUCCCAUCCCUGCUAA